UACAGAGGUCUCAAGCGUUGUUCGGAUUCAUUGGGCGUAAAGGGUGCGUAGGCGGCGCGGUAAGUCGGGUGUGAAAUCUCGGAGCUUAACUCCGAAACUGCAUUCGAUACUGCCGUGCUUGAGGACUGGAGAGGAGACUGGAAUUUACGGUGUAGCGGUGAAAUGCGUAGAGAUGUGGAGGAACACCGAUGGCGAAGGCAGCCCCCUGGGCUAACACUGACGCUCAUGCACGAAAGCGUGGGGAGCAAACAGG
rnacentral:rRNA from 1 species